AACGAACGCUGGCGGCAGGCUUAACACAUGCAAGUCGAACGGUUGUAGCAAUACAGCAGUGGCAGACGGGUGAGUAACACGUGGGAACCUUCCUCGUUGUACGGAACAACUCAGGGAAACUUGAGCUAAUACCGUAUACGUCCGAGAGGAGAAAGAUUUAUCGCAAUGAGACGGGCCCGCGUCGGAUUAGGUAGUUGGUGGGGUAACGGCCUACCAAGCCGACGAUCCGUAGCUGAUCUGAGAGGAUGAUCAGCCACACUGGGACUGAGACACGGCCCAGACUCCUACGGGAGGCAG
rnacentral:rRNA from 1 species